UCAUCGGGUUCAAUGAUAAAAGUGGGAAUAUAUGCUUUUAAAACGUCUUUUAAUAAUUUUUUUUGGGGGGGGAUAGACUUGAGGACUACAUUGUCUCUAUACUGUUAUUUUCUGUGUUGGCAUAAAUUGUAGAUAUCAUUUGUAGAUAAGUGGAUUCAGAAACAAUCCGAAUUUGCGUAAACUAAAGUCCCCACCGUCGCAAUUAAUGACAGCACCCGGCACCGUACAUUUGGCUACACUGUAUCGCUACAUGAAAUAUACACUUUUACGACUUUUGAAACCACAUUCCACAUUAUACCAAUAUAACGGUUUUUUAAAUUCUUAUUUAAUGUAUUUUGAUUACUCCUUUUGCCUUCGGGGUAUUUCAAUCUGUUACUGCUGUAAGAAACACAUCUAACGGUUGCUUUAAUAUUCCAAAUAUGAGCGUAGACAUUUUACAUUCAUUAUUUAUCGACCUAUUUUUUAUUUUCUUUGUACUAAUCUAUUCUAAUAUCCAAACAAGAGUUCCACAAUGGCAUUGCAAACUAACAAUUAUUGGUUCCGUUGCGCGACCUUUGUUUCUUUCGGAACCUUGUACAGACGGACCAUCCCAACCAGGAAGCGGGUAAUAACACAAAGAGCGAUGCCUGACAUUGCCUGAUGGGGCCAAGCAGAGAAUGACCCCUUAGAGACACCAUGCUUCCAUCCAAACUGACCUACCAGACCACGCUUAGAGCUCUGAGGAGCUUCCGGCAUCACGCCUGCCUCUCCGGUGCUGUCUCCCACAAGGAAGAAUGGCUGUCCGGAUGCUGUCUCCGCUCAAAUGUUGGCCCUGGCCUGAGAUCCAUCUGGUCGUCUGUUGGUGAAGCACAGCGUCAUGGAAGAAGAUCAUUCAGCGUGUCGGCUGCUGCGAUUGUCAACGCGGCCCCGGCGCCUGUCCAGCCAUACCUCCGCUUGAUGAGGCUGGACAAACCAAUAGGAACUUGGCUCUUGUACCUACCGUGCGCAUGGAGCAUCGCCCUGGCUGCAGACCCGGGAUGCCUUCCGGACCUGGGAACGCUGGCUCUCUUUGGGACAGGUGCUUUGCUGAUGCGAGGAGCAGGCUGCACCAUCAAUGACAUGUGGGAUAAAGACUUUGACCAGAAGGUGACCCGGACGGCCACUCGCCCCAUUGCGGCGGGGGAGAUUACUCGCCUGCAGGCUUUGGUGUUCCUGGGAGGGCAGCUGUCUCUCGCUCUCGGCGUUCUCCUGUGCCUCAACUAUUACAGGUAUCUGUAGCGACUCAAGUCAUGUGCUGAUCAAUGGCUGGAAGGAGAGGGAGCCAUGAAUGGUGUUCAAACCGUAACAUGUGUCCCAAGAGUCUGUUCAUGAGCACCAAAUGUGAGAAAAAUGUUGUUGUCUCCACCUUUGAGAAGAAAGGCACUCAAAACGUUCCCUUUUGAAAUUGCACGAUACCAGAUGAGCCUGCUCCCCUGCCUCCAAAGGCUUCGCUACGCAUCUUAAUAUAACACUUUAAAACUGUCUAAAUUCCAGCAUCAAGGCUAGAUUUUGGACAACACGCUUCCAGUACACUAUUGUGGCACCUCUGACACUUAUUUGAAAUUGUUGAAAAAUACUACAGUCAUCUCUCCUCGCUAUAUUGCAGCUCCCUCACUAUAUCACGGUUUUUCAGAUGGCUGUUUCGUGCUUGACUAUGGCCUGUUAUUAGUCCAAAAAUACUGAAAGACAAGUCAUAUGUAGUAUUGUGAUCACUAUGUGUGUAUGUAGUGUUAUGAGACAUGCCAUUAGAUUACAUUACCUUUCACUCUGCAUGGAGACUGGCUACUGAGCCAGCACAGCCGAGAUGACAUGCCAUCAGGUGGAAAGAAAGGUUCUCCUCUCAUUCUGUGUGGAAGUGGUACGUUUUGGCUUCCUUGUCCUUCUUCUCCACUCGGUUUGAAACACUUUCUUAUGUUCAGAAUAAGUAAAUUGGAGAGACUAGCUAGUUAUCUCGGUAGCUUGCUAUGUGAGCGGCGGCCAUCUGAUAUGUCCCUGCAGUGAUCCCAUAGCCUGCGCAAUGUGGUGUAAACAAAGAAUAACGGGAGGGAAAAAAUGACAAUUGGGGUGUUAUUUAAGGUCUGCAGGGCUCUAAUAAUGUUAAAACCCGUAUUCAGAAGUCAUAAACAGGCUUUCUAACUACAAAAAUAUUCCGUUUAUUAAUAUUGAAUCCUACUUUUCACUCAUUCACUUAUGGCGGUCGGUCUGGAACCAAUUAACCGCGAUAAACGAGGGACGACUGUAUAUAGGAUUUUUAACUUGUUAAUUAAUGUUCUUCAAUCAAGUCAACUCAUCACAGCAUCGCUCUGGGGGCCGCCUCCUUGUCUCUGGUCGUCACCUACCCCCUGAUGAAGAGGAUCACCUAUUGGCCACAGUUCAUGCUCGGUCUCACCUUCAACUGGGGGGCGCUGCUCGGCUGGUCCGCUGUCAAGGGCUGCUGUGAUUGGUCCGUCUG